AACGAACGCUGGCGGCAUGCCUAACACAUGCAAGUCGAACGAGACCUUCGGGUCUAGUGGCGCACGGGUGCGUAACGCGUUGGAACCUGCCCUUAGGUUCGGAAUAACUCCCCGAAAGGGGUGCUAAUACCGGAUAAUGUCUUCGGACCAAAGAUUUAUCGCCUUUGGAUGGGCCCGCGUUGGAUUAGCUAGUUGGUAGGGUAAAAGACUACCAAGGCGACGAUCCAUAGCUGGUCUGAGAGGAUGAUCAGCCACACUGGGACUGAGACACGGCCCAGACUCCUACGGGAGGCAGCAGUGGGGAAUAUUGGACAAUGGGCGAAAGCCUGAUACAGCAAUGCCGCGUGAGUGAUGAAGGCCUUAGGGUUGUAAAGCUCUUUUACCCGGGAUGAUAAUGACAGUACCGGGAGAAUAAGCUCCGGCUAACUCCGUG
rnacentral:rRNA from 1 species